rnacentral:rRNA from 1 species
GUGGAUUAGAUACCCUAGUAGUCCACGCUGUAAACGAUGAUUACUCGAUGUCGGCGAUAAACUGUCGGCGUCUUAGCGAAAGCGUUAAGUAAUCCACCUGGGGAGUACGCCCGCAAGGGUGAAACUCAAAGGAAUUGACGGGGGCCCGCACAAGCGGUGGAGCAUGUGGUUUAAUUCGAUGAUACGCGAGGAACCUUACCUAGGCUAGAAUGCGCGUGACCGCCUCAGAGAUGAGGCUUUCCUUCGGGACACAAAGCAAGGUGCUGCACGGCUGUCGUCAACU